rnacentral:rRNA from 1 species
ACCGGCUAACUCCGUGCCAGCAGCCGCGGUAAUACGGAGGGUGCGAGCGUUAAUCGGAAUUACUGGGCGUAAAGGGUGCGUAGGUGGUUGAUUAAGUUAUCUGUGAAAUUCCUGGGCUUAACCUGGGACGGUCAGAUAAUACUGGUUGACUCGAGUAUGGGAGAGGGUAGUGGAAUUUCCGGUGUAGCGGUGAAAUGCGUAGAGAUCGGAAGGAACACCAGUGGCGAAGGCGGCUACCUGGCCUAAUACUGACACUGAGGCACGAAAGCGUGGGGAGCAAACAGGAUUAGAUACCCUGGUAGUCCACGCUGUAAACGAUGUCAACU